UACGGGGGGGGCAAGCGGUUGUUCGGAAUUACUGGGCGUAAAGGGCUCGUAGGCGGCCAACUAAGUCAGACGUGAAAUCCCUCGGCUUAACCGGGGAACUGCGUCUGAUACUGGAUGGCUCGAGUUUGGGAGAGGGAUGCGGAAUUCCAGGUGUAGCGGUGAAAUGCGUAGAUAUCUGGAGGAACACCGGUGGCGAAGGCGGCAUCCUGGACCAACACUGACGCUGAGGAGCGAAAGCCAGGGGAGCAAACGGG
rnacentral:rRNA from 1 species